UACGAAGGGGGCUAGCGUUGCUCGGAAUCACUGGGCGUAAAGCGCACGUAGGCGGAUUUCUAAGUCAGGGGUGAAAUCCUGGAGCUCAACUCCAGAACUGCCUUUGAUACUGGGAAUCUCGAGUCCGGGAGAGGUGAGUGGAACCGCGAGUGUAGAGGUGAAAUUCGUAGAUAUUCGCAAGAACACCAGUGGCGAAGGCGGCUCACUGGCCCGGUACUGACGCUGAGGUGCGAAAGCGUGGGGAGCAAACAGG
rnacentral:rRNA from 1 species